UACGUAGGGGGCAAGCGUUGUCCGGCUUUAUUGGGCGUAAAGCGCGUGUAGGCGGCCGCACAGGUCCGUUGUGAAAACUGGAGGCUUAACCUUCAGACGUCGAUGGAAACCGUGCGGCUAGAGUCCGGAAGAGGAGAAUGGAAUUCCUGGUGUAGCGGUGAAAUGCGCAGAUAUCAGGAAGAACACCCGUGGCUAAGGCGGUUCUCUAGUACGGUACUGACGCUGAGACGCGAAAGCGUGGGGAGCGAACAGG
rnacentral:rRNA from 1 species